ACCCGGAGAACUGAAACAUCUUAGUACCCGGAGGAAGAGAAAGAAAAUUCGAUUCCCUUAGUAGCGGCGAGCGAAACGGGAAGAGCCCAAACCAAAAAGCUUGCUUGUUGGGGUUGUAGGACACUCUAUACGGAGUUACAAAGGACGACAUUAGACGAAUCAUCUGGAAAGAUGAAUCAAAGAAGGUAAUAAUCCUGUAGUCGAAAAUGUUGUCUCUCUUGAGUGGAUCCUGAGUACGACGGAGCACGUGAAAUUCCGUCGGAAUCUGGGAGGACCAUCUCCUAAGGCUAAAUACUCUCUAGUGACCGAUAGUGAACCAGUACCGUGAGGGAAAGGUGAAAAGCACCCCGGAAGGAGAGUGAAAUAGAACCUGAAACCGUGUGCUUACAAGUAGUCAGAGCCCGUUAAUGGGUGAUGGCGUGCCUUUUGUAGAAUGAACCGGCGAGUUACGAUUUGAUGCAAGGUUAAGCAGUAAAUGUGGAGCCGUAGCGAAAGCGAGUCUGAAUAGGGCGUUUAGUAUUUGGUCGUAGACCCGAAACCAGGUGAUCUACCCUUGGUCAGGUUGAAGUUCAGGUAACACUGAAUGGAGGACCGAACCGACUUACGUUGAAAAGUGAGCGGAUGAACUGAGGGUAGCGGAGAAAUUCCAAUCGAACCUGGAGAUAGCUGGUUCUCUCCGAAAUAGCUUUAGGGCUAGCCUCAAGUGAUGAUUAUUGGAGGUAGAGCACUGUUUGGACGAGGGGCCCCUCUCGGGUUACCGAAUUCAGACAAACUCCGAAUGCCAAUUAAUUUAACUUGGGAGUCAGAACAUGGGUGAUAAGGUCCGUGUUCGAAAGGGAAACAGCCCAGACCACCAGCUAAGGUCCCAAAAUAUAUGUUAAGUGGAAAAGGAUGUGGCGUUGCCCAGACAACUAGGAUGUUGGCUUAGAAGCAGCCAUCAUUUAAAGAGUGCGUAAUAGCUCACUAGUCGAGUGACACUGCGCCGAAAAUGUACCGGGGCUAAACAUAUUACCGAAGCUGUGGAUUGUCCUUUGGACAAUGGUAGGAGAGCGUUCUAAGGGCGUUGAAGCAUGAUCGUAAGGACAUGUGGAGCGCUUAGAAGUGAGAAUGCCGGUGUGAGUAGCGAAAGACGGGUGAGAAUCCCGUCCACCGAUUGACUAAGGUUUCCAGAGGAAGGCUCGUCCGCUCUGGGUUAGUCGGGUCCUAAGCUGAGGCCGACAGGCGUAGGCGAUGGAUAACAGGUUGAUAUUCCUGUACCACCUAUAAUCGUUUUAAUCGAUGGGGGGACGCAGUAGGAUAGGCGAAGCGUGCGAUUGGAUUGCACGUCUAAGCAGUAAGGCUGAGUAUUAGGCAAAUCCGGUACUCGUUAAGGCUGAGCUGUGAUGGGGAGAAGACAUUGUGUCUUCGAGUCGUUGAUUUCACACUGCCGAGAAAAGCCUCUAGAUAGAAAAUAGGUGCCCGUACCGCAAACCGACACAGGUAGUCAAGAUGAGAAUUCUAAGGUGAGCGAGCGAACUCUCGUUAAGGAACUCGGCAAAAUGACCCCGUAACUUCGGGAGAAGGGGUGCUCUUUAGGGUUAACGCCCAGAAGAGCCGCAGUGAAUAGGCCCAAGCGACUGUUUAUCAAAAACACAGGUCUCUGCUAAACCGUAAGGUGAUGUAUAGGGGCUGACGCCUGCCCGGUGCUGGAAGGUUAAGAGGAGUGGUUAGCUUCUGCGAAGCUACGAAUCGAAGCCCCAGUAAACGGCGGCCGUAACUAUAACGGUCCUAAGGUAGCGAAAUUCCUUGUCGGGUAAGUUCCGACCCGCACGAAAGGCGUAACGAUUUGGGCACUGUCUCAACGAGAGACUCGGUGAAAUCAUAGUACCUGUGAAGAUGCAGGUUACCCGCGACAGGACGGAAAGACCCCGUGGAGCUUUACUGUAGCCUGAUAUUGAAAUUCGGCACAGCUUGUACAGGAUAGGUAGGAGCCUUUGAAACGUGAGCGCUAGCUUACGUGGAGGCGCUGGUGGGAUACUACCCUAGCUGUGUUGGCUUUCUAACCCGCACCACUUAUCGUGGUGGGAGACAGUGUCAGGCGGGCAGUUUGACUGGGGCGGUCGCCUCCUAAAAGGUAACGGAGGCGCUCAAAGGUUCCCUCAGAAUGGUUGGAAAUCAUUCAUAGAGUGUAAAGGCAUAAGGGAGCUUGACUGCGAGACCUACAAGUCGAGCAGGGUCGAAAGACGGACUUAGUGAUCCGGUGGUUCCGCAUGGAAGGGCCAUCGCUCAACGGAUAAAAGCUACCCCGGGGAUAACAGGCUUAUCUCCCCCAAGAGUUCACAUCGACGGGGAGGUUUGGCACCUCGAUGUCGGCUCAUCGCAUCCUGGGGCUGUAGUCGGUCCCAAGGGUUGGGCUGUUCGCCCAUUAAAGCGGUACGCGAGCUGGGUUCAGAACGUCGUGAGACAGUUCGGUCCCUAUCCGUCGUGGGCGUAGGAAAUUUGAGAGGAGCUGUCCUUAGUACGAGAGGACCGGGAUGGACAUACCUCUGGUGUACCAGUUGUCGUGCCAACGGCAUAGCUGGGUAGCUAUGUGUGGACGGGAUAAGUGCUGAAAGCAUCUAAGCAUGAAGCCCCCCUCAAGAUGAGAUUUCCCAACUUCGGUUAUAAGAUCCCUCAAAGAUGAUGAGGUUAAUAGGUUCGAGGUGGAAGCAUGGUGACAUGUGGAGCUGACGAAUACUAAUCGAUCGAAGACUUAAUCAA
rnacentral:rRNA from 3 species